rnacentral:rRNA from 1 species
AUGGAGGCGCCACACGUCGUGGAGGACUGCCGCGGCGUGCUGCAGGUGCUCAGCGACGGGACGACCGUGCGCUCCGCCGCGGCGCCGUACACGGUGGAGGACCGCGACGACGGGCGCGUCGAGUGGAGGGACGCCGUGUACCACCCGGCCCACGGCCUCGGCGUGCGCAUGUACAGGUCGGCGCGACGGGAAGCGGAGGGACGGCUGCCGGUGCUGGCCUACUUCCACGGCGGCGGCUUCUGCAUCGGCAGCCGCGCCUGGCCCUCCGUGCACGCCUGCUGCCUCCGCUUCGCCCACGAGCUCCCCGCCCUCGUGCUCUCCUUCGACUACCGCCUCGCGCCCGAGCACCGCCUCCCGGCCGCCCACCAGGACGCCGCCGACGCCCUCGCCUGGCUCCGCGACCGCCUCGCCCCCGGCCCUGCUGAUGGAUCUGGGUCAGACGGGGACGUCCAAGCCUGGCUCGCCGACUCCGGCGCCGACCCGGGCAGGCUCUUCGUGUCGGGCGACUCCGCCGGCGCCAACAUCGCGCACCACAUGGCCGCGCGGUUCGGCGCGGCGGGGCUCGACCCCGUGAAGACAGCCGGGUACGUCCUCAUCAUGCCGGCGUUCACCUCGGAGGCGCCGACGCAGUCCGAGCUGGGCUCGCGGGGCAGCGCGUUCCUGAGCCGGGACGUGGCCGAGCGGUACAACCGGCUCGCCCUGCCGGCCGGCGCCAACAAGGACUACCCGCUGAUGAACCCGCUCGGGCCGGACAGCCCGGGCCUGGGACUCGUGGGCGGCCGCGUGCUCGUCGUCGUCGGCGGCGACGACAUGCUCAAGGACAACCAGGUCCGGUACGUGGAGCGGAUGAAGGCCGCGGGGAACGACGUCGAGCUCGCACUGUUCGCGGGCAUGGAGCACGGCUUCUUUUCCAGGGACCCAUGGUCGGAGACCAGCGGCGAGGUCGUGCGAGUCGUCGGCCGGUUCAUGGGCAGAGACGCAGCCGAUUCAACCGGCGCCGACGGUCAGGACUAA